UCAGAAAAACGAACUAAACAGUCUUGUCAGACGUUAUACUGUGCUCGUAGCACGCACUCUUAUAUAGAACGCGGCGCCGCGCUGUAUAUCAAUUCACUAAAGCGCAGAAACUACGAACAUGCAACGCGUGAAAUAUAACUGGUACUGCCUGUGUUAGCUGAGAAGGAUUUGCAUGAAGAUGGUAAGUAGGUCGCGGCUUGAUGACCAUGGGAAAACGUGGGUCCCAAGGCCAAACCAGUUGAGAACCACUGACGUAGAGAGCCCCACAGUUCAGCAACCAUCCGCGGAUGAUGUUCAUCUCUAAAUGAGUUGUGCCCAAGCUGACCAGAACCUCCGGAUCCGAAUGUGAACACUGUGCCGCCCUAAUGAUACAACCAUGACAUCAACAUCUAUUACAGAUAUUAUGCUGGCUUACAAUACAAUGCUUUUACAUGAAGAAAUAAUCAGACCUGUAGUGUCUCCGAGGCCCAGCUGUCCAGCCGAGUUCCUUCCCCAUCCAAACACGACUCCAGAGAGAGACAACACAAAGCUGUGGUCUCCUCCAGCG